GAAACGGUAGAGGAAGAAAGGGACCAAAAUGUCACCACUGUCAAAACUGUGACAAAUCCUUCACAACAUCUAAAACUUUAAAGAUUCAUCAGAGAGUUCACACUGGAGAGAAUCUACACA